GCUUGCCAUCUGACUGCGGGUGCAGCCCGGCUGCCUGCUUUCAAACUCAGCGUUUUUCGUGGGCCGGUUCGCGUUUGGUCGGGGGUUCCCCGUUGGGAGUUGGAAUGCCUGACUCCCCCAGCGUGCCCCAGCGUUCUUUGUUUCAGGAUUCUGCAAGCCUGUUUCAGGACCAAAUGGGAAUUUCAGAGAUGGCAAAGAGGAACAUCUUCAGUCCAUGGACUUUUCCCUGAAGCUCAGCUGUUUGGACUUGAAGCAACAAACCUCUGUGCUGCUGGUGUCCUGGGUGUGUGCAGAGCAGAGCAGCCCCAGAAACCCCUUGGGCUGCCCACAAGUUGCCAUGCCUUGUUCCCAGGUGUGCCCAGCUCUGGCAGGAGAAGGAGCCCGCAGCGCAGUGGGCACCGUGCCCUGCCCAGCUGGGGCUCUCUGGCACAGAGCAGCAGCAGUGCCAGCACCAUUCAACCCGUUCCUGCCUUGGCUUCCCCUGGGACACAGAAGCCUCUGGAAAUCAGCACUGCCAGUGGCAUUCCCAGCUUGGAGCAGCUGCUGCUGGCGGGCAGAUGCUGCCAGUUCGACUGCUUCCAAAGUGGCAGAAAGGCAGAGAUGUACAUGCACCGGAGCCCUGGACAUGUCCAAUAAAUAUGCAAAAAUGUGGGAGGAUUUUUAGGAAUUAUUUCAGCUGUUAUGCCAACAGUGGCUUCUCUCCUGGUUCUGUGUAACGCCUUGGGUCCUUUUCUGAAACCAGCAGUCACCCCUGGCUUCAUUCCCUGGUUGCUGUCAGUUGCAUGUCAAAGCAGGGUUUUGUGGGCUCCAAGUUCCAGCUUUCAGGCUGGAGCGCCAAACUGUGUUGUUCCUCUUGACUGACUGUUCUCUCUCCAUGUCACUGUGCUUGGAGCAUCCACUUUUGCUAUGAAGUAGGACACAGAAAGCAGAGAAUAAAAAUGGCUUGGAAACUCUUUGCUGGGAACUGUAUGCUAGAGCUUUCAGUUCUGUUCUUUUGAAGAAAUAUCUUCAUUUUCUGAAUGGAGGAUGAAGUGUGUUUAGCAGGGCUUUGGGGAGUGGUUUUUGUGUUUGAAACUGAUUCCUGAUCCAUGAUCUAGAAAAAAAACAUGGCCACCCUCUGAAAAGUUAAAUUUUGGAGCUGAUGAUAUUAAUAAGCAGGAAAAAUAAAGCCUGUAAUUUCAAAGAAAUUUAUCGCUUCAGGCAUCAAGUCAAGCAUUUCUUGUGAACUGUCCGGCCUUUCAGUCCAACACCAUAGAGGAUUUGCAUUAGGCCAAUGUGCAGUCUCCCAGAUUCCACAGCCUGAGUUUGGCCAGCUGCUCCCUCCACUGCACUUUGUGGGCUCAUGCACUGGCAUUGGGGGUUAAUGCUGGCCAAAUGUCAGAGCACCCUGUAGAAGUCCAUCCGAAAAUCCUUCAUUUUUUGCCUCACAAUUGUCAUGAGAAAAGACUACCGAAGGGUUAAAGCUGCUGAGCCAGUUGGGAAAGAAAGUCUCCUGCUUAUCUACUGUGUUCACAAGUGAUGUUUGCAGAACACGCCAUGCUGUACUCAAAGGGGGCAUGCUGCCCUUUUCUGGACAAUUGAACUGGACUUUCUUCCAAACACUUGAUCUGGCUGGACUGAGCUCUGGGGUGGUUCCCCUCCGCUCCAUAAGAAGACCCCUCUUGCCUGUCUUCAACCACCGUGACGGACCAACAGAGAUGCGAAUCCCCUCGUCAAGGAACCAAGAACCCCUCUGGCACCCUAUUGACACCCCCAUGGCACCCCCAUGGCACCCCUCUGGCAACCUCCUUCCAGAGACUGGGAUUGUACUCCCUCCCAACUCAGGGAGGGGGAAAACUUAACGUACAUGUGAGCAUUCGGCCAUGAAAACAAUGGACUUCUCCCCUCCAUGGAAACCUAAUUUCAGUUACCUUCCCCCAACCAAGAACAGUAUAUAUAUUGGGGUUCGGUCCGACUGCCCUUGAAGAUCUCCCCAAGACGUGUACCAGCGAGUUUCGGCGGCGGGACCCCGAAGACAUCACGUCUUGGUAGCUAUACCCCAUUCCCUGACCUUCUUUCCUCCCUUUUUCCUUGUCUUAACCUUCUCUUCCCCAUAUCCCUUAAC